UACUUUCUUCAUUUUUGUGGUUGGCCGCGUCCUGCCUGCGUCUGGUACACCUUACGUUUCAUCAAAACGACCGAGCGCUGGUGGCGUGAGAUCUUGUUGUAGCAACCUGCUCUAAUUGUGGGCCAAGCAAGCCAAAGGGAUGUGGAAGAGGAAGGUGGCAUCUAAUUCCCGGGUUGCUUUCUGUCUCUCUUCCUGGCAAACAAAACAAUUAUUUCCUGUGGGCCUUGGCCUGGCUAAAUGUGUGAAGAUUAUAACAGAUUCAUUCAGGUACACGUAUGUUUCUGCUUGUUCCUUGAUAAGCCCAGUCCAAUCGCAUUGAAGUCAACAGUGAGAAGACCUCUUUUUUUUUUGCGAUUUACUUCUGUUACAGUCUCAUGCAUAUUAUCUUUCUAUUCUUGCAUCUUCAUCUUUUAGCAAUCCAAAUAGGUUUCUGGAAAUGAAGCAAGGAAAAGGGGAAAGGAGAGUAGGUCCUAUAUUUGAAGAUGGAACCUAAAUAUAGUAGAAAUCUUUUCAGCUCUAUGUUAGAGACCAGUGCAUGUUAUCCUUGUAAUAAGAGCAGAUACAUAUCUUCAGCACUUUUUUAAGAUUCUUCAUUUUGGGGGGAGAGAGGACAUAAAUCAGUAACUUAUAAACACAGGUUUUUCUCUACAAGCACUGCAGUGUAGUCAUCUGCAUGUUAAAUGUUUUACUAAUCAAUCAAUAAAUGUAAAGAGACAUGUUUAAGUGUGUGUAUUUUAUUUAAAGAAGGGGGAAAACAGAUUUUAAUUGGUAAAAGAGGUGGCACCUAGAACUGUCAGUUAGGCAGCUUUUCCAAAGUAGGAGUUAUCUCAAAUAAUAAUUUUUGGUGUUCUGAAUUUGCUCUGAAUUUCGUUUUGAACUAAAAUAGGCUUAGGUGAGAUUUUUUUAUCUGGGGUAAAAAUGAAAUUAUGAUUGAAUGAAAUAGUGAAAUUAUGAAUGGUGUGAAAUUAUUCAGGAAUGGUUAAUCCAUUUGAAAUUCAUAUUUCGUAUGAAAAUCUCAGGCAGAGGCAAGCCAUUUAAAAUGUCAGUCUCUAUGGACAAAUGUUCAUGUUGUAUUUUUCUAAUCUCUUUAUGGUUGAAAUAUAAUUAAGUUGUUACUGACCAGCUAAUUCGUUUAGCAGAAUUAUAUUCUAUCUGCUAUAAUUUCAUUAGUGGCUUUUGGAUACAAUAUUUUCUUUGGUUCUUCUCUUAACAUUUCUGAAUCUUGUUAAUCAGUUUCUAUUAGGUUUUCCUUGUCUCCUGUAGGUAGGAAUAUCCAUUUCAGAGACUACUUGAGCUGGCAGCUUGGAUAGAAAUGUUAUGUAAGUGUCUUAGAAAAGGCAUUAUUGAGAAGUUUUUAGUCUUUUACUCAGCAACUGGAUAAAACUGCCGAAGCUUUCCUUUUUAUCCUGCUCUUUUCAGGGUGUUAUAUUCACAGUUACAUGAACUGUACUUCUAAAACAGUUUCUAACUGAGAAGUAGUUUAACAAUUUUGCUGAUGCUCACAGUAUAUUAGAGCUGGAGCUUGUUAGGUGUUAGCCUUUGGAUUUUUUUCUUUUUUUUUCCAAAGAAAACAUCUGUUUAUAGGAAUUGAGACUGUCAUGUAACUCUUGAUGCAUUCUAGAGAAUAGGCAUCUUCUAAAUUGUCCUGCCAUUCUCUGUGGUUGUUCCAGACGAUCUUUGUUUUGGAAGAGAGAUGACUGGAAGAGUUGGGGGCAUAGGAAAUAGAGUUUUUCAAAAUUAUGAAUAGAGGAGGGUGCUGGGAGAACACGGACUCAGAAGAGGUCAAAUAGGGAACAAGGUUCAAAGCAGACAGAUGUUUCUUUACGCAGUGUGUGGUAGACUAGUGGAACUUCCUGCCAGAGGUGCUAUGCUGUGGAUGCAAAGAUGAGUGCCUAGAUCCAAAAAGGAGGUUUCACAACGUUGUGGAAAAGAAAUUAAUUGAUGGUUAUUAAAUAUGUUAAAAGUGUUGUUGUUUCAGAACAUGUGUGAACAGAAAGUGAAAUACUUAAGUGAUCUCACAGCCUCUGUUCAUAUAUCCUUGCCGUAUUUUUAUGCUCUUGCCCUGUUCAUAUGUGCUCAUGUGUUUAUAGCCACUCUUGGAUACUUGGUGAAACAGAUCUUUAGCCUUACUUGGUAGGGGCAUUGUAUUUUUAAUGUUCAUCCAACCUGGUACACAGGGCCUGGAGAAGGUAAUAAAUGAGUACUCUUUUACCCUCUGAUGGGAAGAAUGCUAAUAUUUCUGGCCUCCCACAGCAUAGAGGAAAAAGUGGUAGUGUGUCACUUACUCCCAUGCAGAACACUUAUCAGUGCUGCCUUGCCUUAGUAGGUCUUGCUGUGAUUUAGUUUCAUAUUGUUUGGAGAAACCAAGCGUAGAAAGUACUGUUGUUUCCUGAUUUAAAAAAAAGCCAGUGCUUAGAAAUCUUGAUUUAGUCCUUCUAGAAAUCAUGGGACUUAAGAAAAUAAUACUAAAGCUUUCCAAAAUUUAGGCUUUGGGACUCAGCAUAUGGUGGACACUGAAAAGUUUCGUUGGUUCUGCGAGAGAGUGAAUAAGUUCAUGGAAAUAGAAAUGUAUACAUCCAACACUGAUCCAGGAUAAAAUGUCUGAAAGUUUCAUUUCCACCUCCUCUCACCUCCCUAGGCUGUUGCAUUCACUGUAAUAUAAACUACAGUUCCAAAACCAAAGUUUUUCUACUGGGAACUUAAGAAACGUGUUUUUUAAGAAGAGUGCAUAGACUCUGCAGAACAAAAUACAAUGUUUUUAAAACUUCUUUUUUCCUUUUUUUUUUUUUUCCUAAAGCUUAGGACCUCCUUUUAAAUGUUGACCUCAGCGGCUUAGGCUUGCAAUAUUUGACAUUUUCUUUAAAAUUCUUAAUGACAUAGUGGGAACUAGAAUCAGGAUAACUGUGGUCUUGGAGUUGGGCCUUUCAAAAGCACGACCAUUUUUUUGCAGAAACAGAAACACUUGUCUGAAAAUUCAUAAUGUUGUCUUGUAAUUCUGUAUGUGAAUUUGUGAAGAUGAGAUGGCUAAAUCAAGACUGUAGUCUAAAGCUCCUAAAUCAUCCACAGAGGUGAUUUUUAUAAAACAGAAAGUAAGAAAUAAAUCUGAAGAAGCAUGUUUGCUGCUACAUUAUACCAUUCUUGCAAAAUUAUGAUUGUUGGUCUGCAGUACAGCAUUGUAUAAGUCCUGGUAGUCACUUAAUAAACAACUUUUGAUUCCUG